rnacentral:lncRNA from 1 species
UUUAUUUCCGGCUAGUUUAGCAGUUCGAAACAGUUGGAGCACUUCUGAAUAUCCGUUUGGGUUCAAAUUUGACAGGCAGGCUCGGUUUAAUGUACUGAGUAAGAAUAUAUCUUAAGUUUUCAAUUUCGACCUUAUUUGGUCACUAAAAACUGUACCGAACUGUAAUCUUUAUUAGAUAACUGUCAGAUUUUAUUUUCCACCUUCCGGGUGUCAAAAUGACAUGAAACUUUAAAUCUAGCCUCAUAAAAAUAAUUCUGACUUAUCCUCCAGUUUUCAUAAUUUUCUGACACUGUGCAUUUUCUGCUAAUUUAUCUGUCUCGUUUCUAACAGAAAAUUCUAGAUCUUCUGUUUUCAUUCCGAUUUCAGCACAAGUCACUUCUGACUUAUGUUUUACUCCUCUAAAUCCAAUAAAAAUAAUAUUUCAUACUAUUUUUAUUUAUUUUUAUUUUUAUAUUUAAAAUCCGGUAUAUUACAUUCUACCGCAACCUUACCGGAACCAUUCAAAUGGCUUUCCAACCAAAUGUACACCGUAACUUCAUAAUUUUAGAAGUCCGGUACCUUACAAUACU